ensembl:lncRNA
CCCGCAGCCCCGCAGCCCCGCGCCGCUCCUAACCCGGUGCCGCAGCCGCUCCCGCUGCUCGCUGUGCCCGCACGGAGCCGUUCUGCACAAAUGAAUGCGAAAAGUAAUUCCGUCCGGAGCUUCGCCCAGACGUAUCAGUCGGGAGUCGGCACCUCCGCCGUAUCCGAGCCCGCGACCGGAUCGAAAUGAGAGCUUCGGCCGUGCGAGGGGCGGCCGCCGCCCGGAGCGACUCGUGCGAAGUCCUCUGGGAUGUACCCGCAGCUCCCGGAGAACAGAAUUCAUGUUACAAAUACCUCCUCGCCCGGUGAAGUCGCAUCUCACCGCCGCUGUGAGCACAGCCCCGCCCGGGGGUGCCCGCAGGUGCGGCUUCAGAUUUGAAUAUCCUGGGGCUCUUCCGUUCUUGAUCCGGGCUUCAGCUCUGAGCCGGAGGUUGGUGUCGGUGUCCGAAGGACCGGCAGGGAGCACACAGCUGCACAGAUUCCUUAAAAGCAAAUGGAAGUCACAGAUGUACAAACAGAGGAAGGAUUUGGGCCAUUUUUGUUACAGUCUGAAGAAAAGUCAAAUAUAAUCUACCAGCACCAAGAUGCUGUGGUAUGUUUUACAACAUAUCACCCCAACACCAAGCGCUGUCCAUGAGUAACUCCUACAAACUUUUGCUGUAACAAGCCCUCCCCUUGUGUUUUUGGCAUGUUGUUCUCAUGGCUGGACAGUCUGUCUGUGUGUGGUCAGAGUUCUAUGUUCAAAUUUAUUUUGAAGUGAUGGAUUUUUGUCUUGUGCUUCACUUCUCUAACACUUUUUGGUGCUACCUCUUCCUUUCUUGGGAGGGAUAUAUUAGGAAAUGCCAUAAACAUAUGUUCCUAGCAUUUUAAUAAAUGGGAGAUCAGUGUUACAUG